CCUACGGGAGGCAGCAGUAAGGAAUAUUGGUCAAUGGGCGCAAGCCUGAACCAGCCAUGCCGCGUGCAGGAAGACGGCCCUAUGGGUUGUAAACUGCUUUUGAACAAGAGAAAACCUCGGUACGUGUACCGAGCUGAUAGUAUUGUUAGAAUAAGCAUCGGCUAACUUCGUGCCAGCAGCCGCGGUAAGACGAAGGAUGCAAGCGUUAUCCGGAUUCAUUGGGUUUAAAGGGUGCGUAGGCGGACCGAUAAGUCAGUGGUGAAAUCUCUCAGCUUAACUGAGAAACUGCCAUUGAUACUGUCAGUCUAGAGUAUAGAUGAUGUGGGCGGAAUAUGACAUGUAGUGGUGAAAUACUUAGAUAUGUCAUAGAACACCGAUUGCGAAGGCAGCUCACAAAACUAUAACUGACGCUGAGGCACGAAAGUGCGGGGAUCAAACAGGAUUAGAUACCCUGGUAGUCCGCACCGUAAACGAUGAUUACUCGUUGUUGGCAAUAUGACCGUCAGCGACCAAGCGAAAGCGAAUAAGUAAUUCCACCUGGGGAGUUACGCCGGCACGGUUGAACGUUAAAUUGAAUUGACGG
rnacentral:rRNA from 1 species